AAAUCCCUAAUAUUAACAAAGAAACAAACUUGUAUUCGCUCUAAGAAUUUUUUAUCUCGUGUAGUAGUAGUUAAGGUAAACUUGAACUAGCAUUAUUGUAUACACGUAGUCGAAACUGAAAGGUUGAUCGAUCACAAUGUGGCCUGAACAAAGCCCAUGACAAAUGUAGCAGCAGUGAGGAAUAUUGGUCAAUAGCCUAACGGCUGAACCAGCAACUUGGAGGAAUGAAAUGCAAUAGCUGAUUGCAUUUAAUUUAAUGUAGUUACUACUUGGUAGUUUAAAUUUCUAGGUAGAAUUAUGAUGAUGACAUUAUCUAUCUAUUAGUCUUGACCAAAUUACGUGCCAGCAGUCGCGGUAAUACGUAGAAGACAAGUGUUAUUCAUCUUUAUUAGGUUUAAAGCGUACCAAGACGGUUAAUAAAGCCCAAAAGAUAUGAAUACAGGGGACACAUUAACUAGAGUUAUAUGAAAGGAAGCUCUAAGGUACUGUUGAGUGUAGAGAUGAAAUUCUUUGAUACCAGAUGAUUGGCACAGAUUUAGGCGAAGGCAUCUUCUUAUGUAAUAACUGACGUUGUAGGACGAAGGCUUAGGAAGUGAACAGGAUUAGGUACCCCAGUAAUCUAGGCAGAAAAUGAUGAAUGUCAUAGGUUGAAUACAGACUGGUUAAAUAUACUAUCUAAUAGUAAAUAG
rnacentral:rRNA from 1 species